AUGCAUUAGCUGUUCUCUCUUCUUUUCUAACAGCAGUAUUGAGCCCAGGCUGCUGUGGGAGAGAGUGGAGAAGCUGGUGCCCAGGCCUGGCAGUGGCAGCUCCUCGGGGUCCAGCAACUCAGGAUCCCAGCCUGGGUCCCACCCUGGGUCUCAGAGUGGCUCUGGGGAGCGCUUCAGAGUGAGAUCAUCAUCCAAAUCCGAAGGCUCUCCAUCUCAGCGCCUAGAAAAUGCAGUGAAAAAACCUGAA